rnacentral:rRNA from 1 species
UACGUAGGGAGCAAGCGUUGUUCGGAUUUACUGGGCGUAAAGGGCGCGUAGGCGGCAGAUCAAGUCAGCUGUGAAAUCUCCGAGCUUAACUCGGAACUGUCAGCUGAUACUGUUUUGCUAGAGUGCGGAAGGGGCAAUCGGAAUUCUUGGUGUAGCGGUGAAAUGCGUAGAUAUCAGGAGGAACACCUGUGGUGUAGACGGCUUACUGGACCAUGACUGACGCUGAGGCACGAAAGCGUGGGGAGCAAACAGG